CCGAGCCGAACAGAGCCGAGCCGAGCCGAGCCGCGCAGCUGAGCCGAACAGCCGAGCCCAGCAGCCGAGCCGAGCCGAACAGAGCCGAGCCGCGCAGCCGAGCCGUGUAGCCAAGCCGAACAGCCGAGCCCUGUAGCGAAGCCGAACAGCGGAGUCGAGCGGAGCUGAGGGGAGCCGAGCUGGGCCGCGCAACGGAGCCGAGCCGACACGAGCCUGUACGAACGCAGCGGGAUGCGGCGGCGGCGGCAAGCGGUGCCCGCGCCGGCCAAUCAGCGCCUCCCCACCCCGCCCCGCCGCUACGAGCGCUCGGGGAGACUCUAGGGGGCGAGGCGAGGCCAGGGCGAGGCCGGGACCUGGGAGCCUCCAGCUCGCCGGCUGCCACGUCCGGUCCCACCAGGCAGCAGAGCUCCCGCUGCCGCCCGACCCGCCAUUAAGGCGCAUCCCGGGACGGAGCAGGCAGUGGGCCCAUGGCGAGGGGGUGCAGAUGGCUGCCCUGGACGGGGGUUUUACCCUGCAGGGCGUGACCCCGGGUGUCCCAAAGAGUUUCCCGCCCCUCGAGGGGGUGCUGCACGCGCGGGGGAUGGGGAUGCUGCCCUGGAUGGGGGCGAGUGUUGCAUGCGGGGCGGGAGUGCUGUGCUGGGGAGAGGUGCUGUAUUCGGGGCAGGGGUGCUGCACACAUGGGGGGUGCUGCACGCCAGCGAGGGGCAUGCUGCGCUGGAGGGGGCGGGUGUUGCAUGCAGGGCGCGGAUGCGGCACACGUGGCCAGGGGGCUGCAUGGGAGUCUGUGGGGCUGCUGCACGCGGGCGUUGUCCAAGCAGUGAUUGUGCACCCCCAAGGAGGACGUGGCCCUCCGCCUCCGCUCCCGAGGGAGAAGCGGCGGUUUUCCCAGUUAUGCCACAGUGACCUGCGCGGCGCGGAGUCAAGGAACUCACCUGGGAUCCGGCCGCAGCGUCCUGGCGCCUCCCGGCCCUUGCUACCGACCCCUCUUUCAGGUUGAGCAGCUGGGCAGGGGUUGCCGGGAGCAGCCUUUGGAGGUCUAAACACAGGCAGCCGAAGAGGCAGCCAGACCUGGACGGACCCUCUGUUUCUUUGCAGAAAAACACUGGUAUUUCCUUAAGCCCGUGCUGCAGAAGGUGGUGGGAGGGGAGAGGUGAGGGAGACCCGGAACGCUGCAGAAGUGGGGGUCCCAGAUCUUGCCCGUGUAUGGUCUGCGGGCAACGUUUCCCCUGCGGUCUCUGCCACACACUGCUGCUGACCGUGGUCCGCUCCCCACCCUGGUAAGCCCGCAUGAGCUCAGGAAACUGCGGGGUCUUCCCAGUGCGCCCUCCUGCUCUUUGGGCUGUCUGUAUUUCCAGCUGGGGAAGGGGAGUAGGCCCCAAAGCGCCUGUCCACUCUCGGCCUGCACCCGCCCGCCCUGCUUCCCUUCAAAUGCUGUGGACUAAGGGUCCUCCCUACCCAAUUCUGGGGCCUCUGAGCAUGAGCAAUCAGGGCCCCACCAGUGGGGGCAGGGGAGGGGGGCUGAGAGCAUGGGACAGAGGCAGAGGGCACUCCCCUUUCCCCCGCUGCUGCUGCUGUGAGUGGGGACAGCAGGCAUUUUUAGCUGAAUGUAGACUGUUUGGGACCUCCAGCUGGAGAAACUGUCAAGCAGUGAGGUCUGGCUGGAGGCUGACUGGGAGUGGUCUGGUCCAGGUGCCAAGAGAGGCCGAGGGUGUGCAGGAGACCAGGAGAGGGCGUCAGGCCACAGCCAGAGGGCAGGGGCACUUGACCCGAGAUGCCCUCUCUCUGCUGCCACGGUCACCUGGCCUCCCAGGCUGCAGCAGAGUCAGACACACCUUUGUGACAUCCUCAGCAGCAUUUUGCCCUAUUGACCGUUUGCAUCCGGCUACUCCAGUGGCCAAAAUUCUUGCUUUCUUCCUUCCCACUUCCUUGCCAGCCUGCAUCCCUCUCCCACCCCUCACUGCGGCCCUGAGGCCUUUUCUUCCCUGUCUGUGUCUGAGCAGCCUAUGCCAUCGGUGGCCUCUGGGGCUCAGUCUGGGGCCUCUCUUCUGGCUCCCUGCCUGUCCUCCAGGCGUGAGAGGCUAUUCAGCCUUCAGCCUCUUGAGUGCCUAUCCUCAAAUCGCCCUCCCAACCUCCCUUGGCCCUGCUGUCCCCUCUUGAAGGUGCUGCACAAAACCCCCGACUCAACGCCUUCUCGAUAGCAUGCCACGCCCUCCCUGCUCCUCCCUCCGUGCCCAGAGGAAAAGGAAAUUUUAGGUGAUCUUUGUUAGAAGAUAACAUUAAUGGCCGGGCACGGUGGCUCAUGUCUGUAAUCCCAGCACUUUGGGAGGCUGAGGCGGGCAGAUCACCUGAGGUCAGGAGAUCGAGACCAUCGUGGCUAACACGGUGAAACCCCGUCUCUACUAAAAAUAAAAAAAAUUAGCUGGGCGUGGUGGCGGGCACUUGUAAUCCCAGCUACUCAGGAGGCUCAGGCAGGAGAAUCGCUUGAGCCCACGAGGCAGAGGUUGCAGUGAGCCGAGAUGGCGCCAUUGCACUCCAGCCUGGGCAACAAGAGCAAGACUCCGUCUCAGAAAGUAAAACAAGAAGAUAACAUUAUUGUCUGCAGAAAAUUCUAAGCUACAAACUGGUACUAAAACGAAUAAGCAAGUUUACCAAAGCCACAGGGUACAAAGCCAAAAAAAGGUCGAUUCUAUUUGUGUGCUAACCAUCAAUUAGAAGUUGAAAUUAUGAAAACAGUACCACUUACAAAGAGAAUUUAAAAACCACGAAAUACUAGGGGUAAAUUUAUCAGAAUUUGCAUGAGACCUGUACACAGAAAACGAUUAUAUACAUCUCUCAGUAUAUUGAGUGAGACUUAACAAGGCCUAAGUAAUCGAUUUAAUUUUAAUUUGAUUUUUUAAAUUUUCUCUCUCUCUUUUUUUUUUUUUAGAAAUUGACAAGCUGCCAGGUGCGGUGGCUCAUGCUUGUACUGCCAGCACUUUGGAAGGCCAAGACAUAUGUUCAAAUGGAAUCUUCAGUGUUGGAGAUGGGGCCUGCUGGGAGAUGUUUUGGUCAUGGGGUGGAUUCCUCGGGGCUUGGUGCUGUCCUUGCAAUGGUGAGUAUUCGUGAGAUCUGGUUAAGUGGGCGCCUCCCCUCCCACUCUCUCUUGCUCCCACUUCUGCCGUGUGAGACCCCCGCUCCCCCUUUGCCUUCCACCGUUAUUGGAAGCUUCCGGAUGCCAUGCUUCCUUUACAGCCUGCAGAACCAUAAGCCAAUUAAACCUCUUUUUAAAAUAAACUA